rnacentral:tRNA from 1 species
GCGCCUGUAGCUCAGCUGGAAAGAGCAACGGACUUCUAAUCCGUAGGUCGCAGGUUCGAAUCCUGCCAGGCGUACCA